rnacentral:lncRNA from 1 species
UCACAUCUCCAUUCUAGUUGCCAGCCAGCAUCACUCGACAUUACAAUACUCUUUCAAGUUUGCGCCUCUAUUCAUCAUACAGCCUUAAUGACCGUCCUUAUAGUGAACUUGUCAACCUCAUCACCACACCCAGAGUUUUGCAUUCCUGUUGCUUUUCAUACAUAUAUAGGUCUGUCCCUAGGUUCUUUACCCCAUGCAUCUAAUGGAGUAGGUUUUGUCUACAAAAGUUCAUGCUACCGACUGCAUAAAGGUGCCCAUGGAGUCUGGGAUGGGCUGAAGCUCAGUGGUAGAGCAGACUGCCUGGAAAACAGAGGGUUGCCGGUCUGAUUGCUAGAAGUAGGCANUGGCAAACCAUUUCUGUCUCCCUGCCAAGAAAACUGCAUAGAGGGCUCCAAGGAGUCGACCAGGAAUCGGUCCCGACUUGGUGCUACUCAACAACAUCAACCGCCACCACUAACAUCUGUAAGGCCAUAGUUUGUCCUCCACAUUUUGUUAAGGAAUCUUGGGGGAUGCUCUGCUAGUUUUGACCAUGCUGGUUGCUUUUCCUUGUACCUCGUAGAUUCCAGUGCCUCCCCCAAGCUACUGGGAAGGGUACUAUUUCACUGCAGGGGCAAAACCCAGCCGUUCAGAGCUGGAGAUCAUCUCCAGCUUUCAGAAGGACGACAGCUUUCCACGGCGUGUGCUGGACAUGGUAGUGUGGCUGGCAAAUAAGGAGCAAAUCAGAGUUCCCCCUGAUCAGUUAAAAGCCUGGUGCAUAGAAAAACUAAGUGAGAGGGGAAGUCUGUCAGGGCAGCAGACCCCAAAGUGUAUCAACUUGCAUCGCACAGUCCGAUACCGACAGGAAGCUGGCGUCCGUGUCCAAGUCAAGCAAGCCUUUGGACUUAAAGGUGAUCCAUCCUUACCUGGACGAUCACAGUGUCCUCUUAGUCCAAAUAUAUGGCUUGAAUGCUGUUUAUACCCCAGAUCCGACUGGAGAUAGAGUGGGCAAGGUGACGCCACGUUCUGGUCAAGUUCUUGAGCUUAAUGAACAGUCACAGCUGGGUUGGACGGCUUUCCCCCUCUUUUACAGGAACUGCGUAAGAAGUGGCUUGCACAGUGCACCGUUGUUCCAAGGGACACCAAGUGCUGAAUUCCUACAGAGCAUCACUGCUCACCCCGUGAAGGACAUCAUGGCUGAACAUCUGCAGGAAAAAAAACUCCGACUUCUCGCGACAUAUGGCAGCGUUGCCGUUGAAAUAUGGGACGGCCAUUUCUUCGACGACGAUCGUCCGGAGUUGCCUGUUCUCAACGAUCUUCUUUCCAUCGACAAGCCAAAGAAAUUUUUGGCAACCCAAACCAGCCGAAAGGGCAAGGAGAUGUCCCAGCUUGUUCUGAAAACUCUGGAUAAGAAAUUAAGAAAACGAGGUUGCGACAGCCUAGAAUACCAGCAGCAAGAACGUUUGUACGCGCAAGCAAUGGGGAACACCUUUUACAANGUGAUGGAAACAGCUUUGCUGAAUGCAGGAUAUGGUCCUUUAUGAUUGAUCAUCUUGAAAAUUGUUGACAAAGGCAAAGGAUCUUUGGAACUGAAAGCUUUUCUAGGCUCCCCGUUACAGCCAAAUAGUACAUGAAGUCUCCGUUGGUGAGUGCAUUGGGGAAAAUACAAACAUAGCAUUUUUAAGAGAAAGUGAAGGUCGUUUUAUUAACACCAGCAUAACCCUUCUUCACAGGAUCUGAAAUAUUUACACUGUAUACCGAAUUAUAAAAUGCAACUAAAAAAAAUCUUUUUUAUUCAUCUUCUGCUUAAAUAUGCAAAAUAAAAUAA